UACGUAGGGGGCAAGCGUUGUCCGGAAUCAUUGGGCGUAAAGAGCGUGUAGGCGGCUCGGUAAGUCCGCUGUGAAAGUCCAGGGCUCAACCCUGGAAUGCCGGUGGAAACUGUCGGGCUAGAGUCCGGAAGAGGCGGGUGGAAUUCCUGGUGUAGCGGUGAAAUGCGCAGAUAUCAGGAGGAACACCAAUGGCGAAGGCAGCUCGCUGGGACGGUACUGACGCUGAGACGCGAAAGCGUGGGGAGCAAACAGG
rnacentral:rRNA from 1 species